rnacentral:rRNA from 1 species
UUAAGUGGCGGACGGGUGAGUAACGCGUGGGAACCUGCCUUGNACCGGGGGAUAACACUUAGAAAUAGGUGCUAAUACCGCAUAAGCGCACAGAGCCGCAUGGCUCGGUAGUGAAAAACUCCGGUGGUGCAAGAUGGACCCGCGUCUGAUUAGCUGGUUGGCGGGGUAACGGCCCACCAAGGCGACGAUCAGUAGCCGGCCUGAGAGGGUGAACGGCCGCAUUGGGACUGAGACACGGCCCAAACUCCUACGGAAGGCAGCAG